AACCUUGGCAUUCAAGGCAGAGAUCGCCAGGCAAGCAUCAGGCCAGACACUGGGAGUUAUCCUGAGAGCCUGGCCGCACGCUGACAGGGCCCCCCUUUGGGGACAGAAUUCCAAUUGCGGGCCGCGGCUGCCGCCUGGGAGAGGACGCUGCGCUCCGCCUCCGAGAGAAGGAAGAAGCAGGAAUGCAGGGGCUUCUGUGGGCUCCGUGCUUCCAGCCUUCUGGGAGAGAGAGGAAGACCCUUGGGCUCAGAACGAGCCGGUCUUCCUAGCUAGCCUCCGGCAAGGCUUCUAGAAGGGGAGGCUUGUCAGAGGAGCAGGACAGAUAGGGGUUGGGGACAUGGAAAGUUUUUAGCCUUUUUAUUUAAACUGCCGGGGGUCUUCUACUUCAGGUAAUGAGCUAUUCCCAGAGGAAAGCAAACUUGAUCCCCUAUCUCCAUUAAUGGAAGGAAAGUGGAUACUUAACUGCAUGUGGCCAGUGAGAUGCUGGCAAGGGUUUUUGCACCAAUGUGGGCUCCAGGGUCACAUCCAUGUGGGGGUCUCUAUGGGAGAGAUGAUGAAAAGGAAGGGAGCAAUUUUAGAACCACAGGGUCUCCCUCUGCAGGCUGGAGGGGGACACUCCAGAGUAGAGAGAAGACCUUUUAGAGAUAGAAGAAUCAGUGUGCCCACAGGAGCCCCAGAGAAAGAGCAACAAGUAUCCCCCACCCCCAUAUGGCUGUCAGGACUUUUUUGUGUUUAACAAAGGAAGACAGCUGGGUGCCCUGUAGGACUGGUUGAAUUCCAUUCUGUGUAAGGUGUGUGUGUGUGUGUGUGUGUGUGUGUGUGUGUGUGUGUGUGUGUGUGUGUGUGUUCUGUCCCAGGAUCUGCCAGAUGGAAUCACAGCUGGAGCUGUAGGUAAGAGAGAGGACAGGCUCUGGUUGGUCUUCUACCUCCUGCUUCCUAAAAAUCCCUUGUAAGUCAGGCCCCUGCUGGCUGAUAGGUGUGGCUUGCCAAGGAUCAAGUGGCUGGCAUCAGGGAUAAAUUCUCAUCAGGGUGAAAGGAAUUGUAAGUUAGAGUAGCCAACUUGAGCCACUUGGCCAAGCUGGGGCAGAGCCACACAGAGGCAAAUGUCUUGGAGAGCGAAGCUGGCAUCUCCAGGGCCUGCCAGGCUUAAGAAGGUGGAGAAAGGCGAAGCUGACAUCAUGCUCUUCUAGGCCAAUGGCCAUUCUGAGAUGGCGUUCUGACCCAUCCAGAUUCCUGCAAAGCCAGAUCCACUGAGAUGGUUCCCAGAAAGCAGUCUGAGGUGACAUGUGGAACAUGACCUUGUCAGUUUAUCAAUCGUGAAUGAUAUGACAUGACAGAAGGCAAAUGAUCAAGACUGGGGAGCCUUGUGCCUUUGCUAACCCAGAGUCCUGGUCUCAACAGGGCAUAGGCUUGUAAACCAGAGGGACCAAAACCAAGUCACCUUAGCAAGUGAACAUUCUUGAUUUUAUUGCCAUCCUACAGAUGAGAAAACUCCGCCACAAUGAACUGUUGUGUCCAAAUCACGGGACCAGUGAAAUGAGAGCUGGGACUUCAUCUGGACACUAUGUUGGCUUGGGGAAAGCAAGAGAGAACAAAAUACAUUGACCAACCUCAUGGCUCAAGGAAGGUGACUGGGGAACCAUUUAAAACUUACCAGGAUCUUAUUUGCCUCCGGAACUGCAUAUCUAAAAGCCAAGGUCAAACACACUCUGCCUUCUCUUCUGCUUCCUGUGCAUGACCCCAAAGAUGACCUCAGAGUGGACGAGGAACUGCCGGUAAUUAUGCUGGGACCCUUGCCGCAAUGCCUGCUUCCAGAGCUACAGCUGCGCUCCAGAGAGAUCAUUAGUCGGUAUGCACAUGUUAUUGAGGGCAGUGGUGUCAUCGCCGGUUGAAGAUGCCCUCAGUCAAGUGUGAGAGCCGGAAAUGGAGGUCAAAAUAAUUAACCUCCUGUGAUUUUGUGCUCCUUGCAAAAUCAACCAUGUGCAGCUCAUAUUUCAGCAGAACAAUAUAAUCAUUUGUUCACAAGUCUCUCUCUUUCUCCCUUCCUCCCUCACUCGUCUUUCCUCCUUUCUGUCUCUCAAUCCAUCUCAUUGGCUAGCUUUUCUGUAUUCCCUUCCCACCCUAACAGCAGGCUGUCAUAACCCACUGCACCCAUAGGCAUCGCUGGAUAGGGCUUAGUACCCUCACCCAUUGCUGUCACACCGACUCUCUAAAGAACAGCAGAACGUGUUCCCUUUGUAAAAGCUUCUCUUGACCCCAUUUCAGUUCACCCACUCUCUCCUGCACCACACAGGAAUUAUGCAUCACUGUAGGAGUCACAGCCAAAGCAUCCACCAUCCACUCUACUUACGGAACACUCCUACCUGGCUGGUGGCAGCAUUACAAGGGGCCAGCCUGGGGUUGUAGAAAAGUCCAUGUGCAGAGAGGAGCUAAGGGUAUUUGCCAAGUUGUAAAGAACAAGAUGUUGAAUGAGGUGCCCUUCAGAGUGUGGGGUGUCUGAGCCUUCAUUCUGUUCCCUCAUUCAGCCAGCCAUCCUUUUCAUCCAGCAAUGUAUGCUAAAUGUUGAUCGCAUGGUAUAGGAUUCUCCACUGUGUGCAUUUUGUAACUGGUGUGAACCAUUUUAUUAAUUAAAGAUGUCAUUAUA
rnacentral:sRNA from 1 species